rnacentral:misc_RNA from 1 species
AACGCACAUUGCGCCUCCUUUUACGGGGAGGCAUGCCUGUCUGAGCGUCGUCUUUCCGAUGGGUCCUCUCCGGAUCCGUGUUGGGCCCUGCGUCCUGCCGGCGCAUCGCCUCGAAGCCGUGUGCCCUUCCGUGGACGAGUUCCUCUAGGACCUGCCGCGGUCGGGCCUCCGUACGCGAGGCUCCGCCUCCGAAGUCUUUGACCUCAGAUCAGGUAGGGAAACCGCCUGAACUUAA